ACUCCUACGGGAGGCAGCAGUGGGGAAUAUUGCACAAUGGGCGCAAGCCUGAUGCAGCCAUGCCGCGUGUAUGAAGAAGGCCUUCGGGUUGUAAAGUACUUUCAGCAGUGAGGAAGGUGGGUAUGUUAAUAGCAUACNCAUUUGACGUUAGCUGCAGAGAAGACACCGCUAACUCCGUGCCAGCAGCCGCGGUAAUACGGAGGGUGCGAGCGUUAAUCGGAAUUACUGGGCGUAAAGCGCAUGCAGGUGGUUUGUUAAGUCAGAUGUGAAAGCCCGGGGCUCAACCUCGGAAUUGCAUUUGAAACUGGCAAACUAGAGUACUGUAGAGGGGGGUAGAAUUUCAGGUGUAGCGGUGAAAUGCGUAGAGAUCUGAAGGAAUACCGGUGGCGAAGGCGGCCCCCUGGACAGAUACUGACACUCAGAUGCGAAAGCGU
rnacentral:rRNA from 1 species